ACGUGCGCAUUUUUCUCUGGUUACUGAAAGAAAGUGUCGAUUGUCAAACGGACGGUGUGUACCAACUAAGGGCGGACGAUGGUUUUGCAAAAAAUGUCGAUUAGCAAAAUGCUCGGAGGCGGGGAUGAACAGUAGGAACAUACAAUACGACCGUGAUGCUAAUAAAACGUCACUUUUGAGCUCUACAAAUGUGAAUCGAAACAUGAAAAAUAAAAAUGCUAUUCCAAAUAACUGUCUGGUUUAAUUGGGGACGCUUGGAGCAUAUGACAGCAACAGCUAAAAUGAGGAUUCGGGGAAGCUGUGGGAAAGAACAAUUAAUGUUCUCCUCUGACACAAAACUGAACUUUGGCAAUGUGCACAUUGAUCUAAGCUGCUUUUCUAAAUAUUCAUUCGAACAAAUGCGCUACUUUUUCUCUCCAAAUGAAGUAUACUACGAUGAAGCCAUUUCUAAAAUGGUGGAGAUGCAACCCAGUGAUAUUGAAUUAACUUAUCUCAUAUGUGCGAUUUGUUUUCAUAUUACAGGCAAACACUUCGGAGGUGAUAUUGAAGAAGAAAUGGGCCAUUUACAAGAUGUUUUGGCCAGUGAUCUCCACGAUUAUUAUUGCAAAAAUAAUUUUCCCAUGUAUCUUUUGCGACUGAAACAGUUGCUAAAAAUCAAGGACACUUUUGUGAAGCUCAGGAAUAUUCGGCUCGAGAAGUAUGAAAUUGGCGGAGUCUUUAAAGUCAUCAAUAUGGAGUUUUCUCAAUGUACGCACCAAGAAUACUUUCAUGUUCCCUGUUGA
rnacentral:misc_RNA from 1 species